GAGGGAAAUAUGAAGGCUUGGUAUAGGCAGUAAUGAUGGCGUGCAAUCCAGACCUAUGAUCAAGUGGAGGUAACGGUUGAAAUCGAUGGAUCAGAGCAGCGUGGGCUUGAGAGUUUGGACAGAGAGAAUGUCAAAGCAGGUUUCUACAAACUCCCAAUCUGUGGAAGGGUGUUCCCUAGAUGCCUCAUGAGCUCAGUCAUAACCAGCCAAGGUCCUGCCAGCACAGAUUCCACCCUACUGAGUAAGAGCUCGCUUCAUUCAAGUGGCACCAAUUGUACACGGGACCCUAUGGAGCAGAAUUUCGGGCCUCGACCUUCAUGUGAAGCACCAGGCCACUUUCCUAUGACAAGGCAUUUCUAGAAGCCUCUAGUUACUUGAUCGAUCCAAGGUCAACUUCUCCUGGUCAUACCAAGUUUUAAUUUUCUUUCUACUGUUAUAAUAAACAGCAUGACCAAAAUCUACCUGUGGAAGAAAAGAUGUAUUUAGCUUAUAGACUGUAGACUUUCACUGAGGGAAGUCGGGGCAGAAGCUCAAGGCAAGAAUCUGGAGGCAGGAACUGGGGCCAAGACCACAGAAGUAUGCUGCUUACUGGCUUGUUCUCCAUAGCUUUCCCACCCUGAUUUCUUAUAGAACCCAGGACUCUCAGCCCAGGAAUGUCACCACCAACAGUGGACUGAGGCUAGCCUCCGUCCCCUGCCCCCAGUUAAUCAUUAAUCAAGAAAAUCCCUCCCACACAGAAUAGUCUACAGGCCAAUCUUAUGUAAGCAUUAUCUCAAUUGAGGUUCCCUCUUCCCAAAUAAUUAUAGCUUCUGUCUAGUUUGCAGAGAGGGGAGGGGAAGCUAAUCAACACACACCAAUAACUCAAAGAAUAUUAGAAAUGUACUCUGAGAAAAUUCAAAUUCAGCUGGUCUGGGGAGCUUUGGGAACUCAGUUUCAACAGCUCCA
rnacentral:lncRNA from 1 species